UGUGCCAGCAGCCGCGGUAAUACAGAGGGUGCGAGCGUUAAUCGGAAUUACUGGGCGUAAAGCGAGUGUAGGUGGCUCAUUAAGUCACAUGUGAAAUCCCCGGGCUUAACCUGGGAACUGCAUGUGAUACUGGUGGUGCUAGAAUAUGUGAGAGGGAAGUAGAAUUCCAGGUGUAGCGGUGAAAUGCGUAGAGAUCUGGAGGAAUACCGAUGGCGAAGGCAGCUUCCUGGCAUAAUAUUGACACUGAGAUUCGAAAGCGUGGGUAGCAAACAGGAUUAGAUACCCUGGUAGUCCACGCCGUAAACGAUGUCUACUAGCCGUUGGGGUCCUUGAGACUUUAGUGGCGCAGUUAACGCGAUAAGUAGACCGCCUGGGGAGUACGGCCGCAAGGUUAAAACUCAAAUGAAUUGACGGGGGCCCGCACAAGCGGUGGAGCAUGUGGUUUAAUUCGAUGCAACGCGAAGAACCUUACCUGGUCUUGACAUAGUGAGAAUCCUGCAGAGAUGCGGGAGUGCCUUCGGGAAUUCACAUACAGGUGCUGCAUGGCUGUCGUCAGCUCGUGUCGUGAGAUGUUGGGUUAAGUCCCGCAACGAGCGCAACCCUUUUCCUUACUUGCCAGCGGGUUAAGCCGGGAACUUUAAAGAUACUGCCAGUGACAAACUGGAGGAAGGCGGGGACGACGUCAGUCAUCAUGGCCCUUACGACCAGGCUACACACGUGCUACAUGGUAGGUACAGAGGGCAGCUACACAGCGAUGUGAUGCGAAUCUCAAAAGCCUAUCGUAGUCCGG
rnacentral:rRNA from 1 species